rnacentral:rRNA from 1 species
UGUGCCUACGGGAGGCAGCAGUGAGGAAUAUUGGUCAAUGGACGCAAGUCUGAACCAGCCAUGCCGCGUGCAGGAUGACGGCUCUAUGAGUUGUAAACUGCUUUUGUACGAGGGUAAACCCCGAUACGUGUAUCGGGUUGAAAGUAUCGUACGAAUAAGGAUCGGCUAACUCCGUGCCAGCAGCCGCGGUAAUACGGAGGAUCCGAGCGUUAUCCGGAUUUAUUGGGUUUAAAGGGUGCGUAGGCGGAUUUUUAAGUGAGAUGUGAAAUACUCGGGCUCAACUUGAGUGCUGCAUUUCAAACUGG